rnacentral:lncRNA from 1 species
CCCACGUACUUGUGGUGAACCAGUUUCAGUCUUCCUCGGUGUGCUCUUUAAGCAAUCACUUUAUGCCAGGUGGUCGUCCUCGAGCGCAGACUUCCAUCUUGUAGUUGAUUGAAGCUCGGGAUCCCCGUUUCUUGCCUAAGCUUUCUCUGCGACGGUCAAGCUUCUUCUUCGGGUGCAGAGCUGGAGGCUGAUGGUAGUCAGCUGUUUCUUACUUCGUCUCAGCCACUCUUUCAGAGCAUUCCUGCGGUGAACCUUCAAGGUGG